rnacentral:rRNA from 1 species
CCUACGGGAGGCAGCAGUAAGGAAUAUUGGUCAAUGGAGGAAACUCUGAACCAGCUAUCCCGCGUGAAGGAUGAAGGGGCUCUGCCUUGUAAACUUCUUUUGUCUGGGGCGAAAAAGCUCGAUUUAUCGAGAACUGACGGUACCAGAAGAAUAAGCACCGGCUAACUCCGUGCCAGCAGCCGCGGUAAU